rnacentral:rRNA from 1 species
UACAGAGGUGGCAAGCGUUGUUCGGAUUUAUUGGGCGUAAAGGGUCCGUAGGCGGUCCGGAAAGUCAGAUGUGAAAUCCCACAGCUCAACUGUGGAACUGCAUUUGAAACUUCCGGACUAGAGUAUGAGAGGGGUAAAGGGAAUUCCCGGUGUAAGGGUGAAAUCUGCAGAGAUCGGGAGGAACACCUGUCGCGAAGGCGCUUUACUGGCUCAUUACUGACGCUCAGGGACGAAAGCUAGGGGAGCAAACGGG